CCUACGGGAGGCAGCAGUGGGGAAUAUUGUGACAAUGGGCGCAAGCCUGAUCCAGCCAUACCGCGNUGUGUGAAGAAGGCCUUCGGGUUGUAAAGCACUUUAAGCAGGGAGAAAAAGUUGUAAGUUAAUACCUUAUAACCGUGAUGUUACCUGCAGAAUAAGCACCGGCUAAUUCCGUGCCAGCAGCCGCGGUAAUACGGAAGGUGCAAGCGUUAAUCGGAAUUACUGGGCGUAAAGCGCGCGUAGGUGGUUUGUUAAGUUGGAUGUGAAAGCCCUGGGCUCAACCUAGGAACUGCAUCCAAAACUAACUCACUAGAGUACGAUAGAGGGAGGUAGAAUUCAUAGUGUAGC
rnacentral:rRNA from 1 species